rnacentral:rRNA from 1 species
CGAGGAAUUUUGCGCAAUGGGCGAAAGCCUGACGCAGCAACGCCGCGUGGGUGAGGAAGGCCUUCGGGUCGUAAAGCCCUUUUGUCGGGGACGAGAGAUGACGGUACCCGACGAAGAAGCCACGGCUAACUACGUGCCAGCAGCCGCGGUAAUACGUAGGUGGCGAGCGUUGUCCGGAAUUAUUGGGCGUAAAGGGCGCGCAGGUGGUGCGGUAAGACUGCCGUGAAAUCUCCCGGCUCAACCGGGCGGGUGCGGUGGAGACUGCCGGACUGGAGGCACUCAGAGGCCGGUGGAAUUCCCGGUGUAGUGGUGAAAUGCGUAGAGAUCGGGAGGAACACCAGUGGCGAAGGCGGCCGGCUGGGGGUGACCUGACGCUGAGGCGCGAAAGCGUGGGGAGCGAACCGGAUUAGAUACCCGCGUAGUCC